UUCUGGCUCAGGAUGAACGCUAGCUACAGGCUUAACACAUGCAAGUCGAGGGCAUCAGGGCGAUAGCUUGCUAUCGUGCUGGCGACCGGCGCACGGGUGAGUAACGCGUAUCCAACCUGGCCCCCAGUAGGGAAUAGCCCGGCGAAAGUCGGAUUAAUGCCCUAUGUUAUCCGAAGAGGACAUCUGAUUUGGAUUAAAGAUUCAUCGCUGGGGGAUGGGGAUGCGUCCGAUUAGGUAGUAGGCGGGGCAACGGCCCACCUGGCCGACGAUCAGUAGGGGUUCUGAGAGGAAGGUCCCCCCACAUUGGAACUGAGACACGGUCCAAACUCCUACGGGAGGCAGCAGUGAGGAAUAUUGGUCAAUGGUCGAGAGACUGAACCAGCCAAGUAGCGUGCAGGAUGACGGCCCUAUGGGUUGUAAACUGCUUUUAUGCGGGGAUAAAGUGAGGGACGUGUCCCUUUUUGUAGGUACCGCAUGAAUAAGGACCGGCUAAUUCCGUGCCAGCCGCUGC
rnacentral:rRNA from 1 species